rnacentral:lncRNA from 1 species
UGGUAACUGUCUGCCGUGUCAUAAACACAACGACAUGACGACUUCAUGGCAGGAUGGGCCAAACGAGAAGCAGAACUGGGAGGAAAAGAAUGCUUGUUAAAGCAAAACUAUUUCCAAUCAUCAAAAGAGGGAGUAGAGGACCUCAUUCUAGCCAAGAACUGUGGAAGCUAUGUCUUACAGUAGAAACAAGCGAACCUCUCCUGGCUGACACUAGCCAUCAUGUUUCAUCUUGCAGCAAAACUACGGGUGAGAGUGAUGGUGACAGUCGUUCUGGGAGGGCAGAGUACAGGGGCGAGGGGGUGCUGCAGCCUUCCCUCAGCAGUCACUAGACUCCAGCACAGCAAGAAGAAAGGAAGGGACGUCUGCCAGCACUGCCCAUCAGAAGGGUUGGGUGCAGGGAGAAUCUAUCGCCAGCACAGUCUGUUGCAUGUGCUCCAGCUGCUUCCUCAAGCUGUGAGAUUGCCAGUCCCAUGGUGAACACUGCAUCAAAGCAUGAUGAAGAACAAAUACACGUCCAUAUAAAUAUAUGUUAUAGAAAGGCCCUUCAAACAGUUCACAGAAAAUGGAAUUAAAAUAUCACUUUAUUUUGGGGUAAAACAUUUUGAAAUCAAUGCGUCAUUUUUAUAACGCACAUUUUCCAUGAACUUAAUCAAAUAUGCCUCGUCUAUGCAUAAUGCAUAAAGUGAUAAUAUAAAGAUUCUACAUAAAAAUACAAAUAGAGGGUGGGCCUUGUGGCAUAGCAAUUACAUCACCACUUAGGAGGUCCUCAUUUCCUAUCAGAGUGCUUGGAUUUGAGUCCCAGUUGGCUCCUCCGCUUCUGAUCCAGCUUCCUGCUAAUGUGCAUCCUGGGAGGCAGCAGGUGAUGGCUCAAGUGCUAGAAUCCCUACCUCCCAUGUGGGAGACCCAGACGGAGAUCCGGCUUCCAGCUCCAGCCUGGCUCAGCCCUAGCUGUUCAUUCGAGGGUGAACAAGUGGGUCAAACAUUCUCUCUCUCUCCCCUCCUUCUGCCUUUCAAAUAAAACAAAGCAAAAUCAGUGAAUAAAAAUGUUU